GAAGAAAGCUUGGCACCGAGCCGCAGAAGGAGGCAGCACACACAGGGUGACUAACAGGCAAACAUCAUGAUCAGACUGCAAAGAAAAGCCCUGAUUCCCACACACAGAGGCGGCAACAGCACACUAACAUUUGGUGGGUGAUCAUCUACUGUCUCCAUCUCACCGUCAGGACAAGAGAACUACAAAUACUUCAAAACUUCAAGGCAUCUUUACAAUGAAAAGACACAGAGACCUAAAUUGUAUUUACAAGGAAAGAUCUUACAAAUUAUUUGAAGAUGUUAAAGAAUAGCAUUGAAUCAGAAAUAAACAGCACACGUCCAAGUAAAAAAUAGACAUAAAAAACAUAUAAUCUACUUAAAGACUUACAUAGUAAAGUUCUCUUCUAAGAAGCAUCGAUUACGAAGCAGUCCUGCCCAAAGCUGCACCCCAAUGAUUCCAAAGAUGAAGAAGACAAAAAAACACAAAAGAAGGACAUUCCCCAGCAUAGGCAAUGUAUCCAGCAGCAAGUUUACCAGGAUCCGCAUACCUGCAAAGUAGUAAAAAGAAAAAUGGCAGAGAUGGAAGAAAAAUAGUGAGGGAAUAUGUAAAAGAGUAUGACAAAGAUCAAAACAAGGACAGCGUGGGAUAAGAAUGACAUGAAGGAGACUGAUAGAUGGUUAUGGAUAGGGAAGGGUUAAGUGCAUAAGGAAGGGAUAAAAGAAUGACCCCUGAUAAUGGAAUGUUUCGGCAGAAAUAAAUGCAGAAGUUGAUGGAUUAAUUUCAGUGAUCAAAUGUUCCAAUCCAUGCAGACAACAUAUCAACAGAGCACAUGAAAAGCAAUGUCUAAGGUUGGGGCUGAAUGGUGAUUUUGGCCGUGUCACCUGUUGCGCGACCAAUGAUGGCUGAGUACCGGUGCAGCCAUCGGACUGAAUGGGAUAGUAGCAGAACUCGCAAACGACAAUGACCCAGGAUUGCAAACAAUCCAACAGUGCUAGAUUUUCGUGUGCAUCUGGGAUGUGGUCAGUUUGAUUGCUGUAAUGCCACACAAGGGCCAUUGGUCACCCAACGGGUGUCACAACAAGAUCGCCAUGUAGCCCCAACCUAAAUCACAACACACAGAUGGUAAAUUUGAUAACACACCCUACAUGCUGCAAUCUGACUUGAAUGCCAUUUAUCAAUGCUGUGCAUGCAUCAAUCUGACCUCUGGUCAGUCUGGUGAAGGGACUGCUGGAAAUUGUUGAUGAGGAUAUGACAAAAAGCUAUCUCUUCCAUAAAAAUAGUUUUCCAAAGAUUAUGUAAAUGUUAUUAUUCUGUUAUGUGUAAUAAAAAGUUACUCUUUUCUGUGCAA